GUCACAACACCAGCUGAACCUCACUGUGGCCAUCAAACAAUCUUCAUGAAAACGUUCAUGCGGCAGAUGUUCAGACUCUGGCUGGAUCCGGAAUCGCAGGCCACACGGUCGCUCAGCUGGAAGAUUCCAAACAGUUUUGUGGUGAGACCAGGCCUUGCAGUGACAUUCUCCUCGGAACUCUCGGAACUCUCGGAACUCUCGGAACUGUCGUCAGAAAAUCCAGCUGGCCGCCUGAGUGCCGCAACAUGGGAUCUCUUUCCCCUUCCGCCGGGACGACCAGGUCUUCCUCCUGGACGACCAGGUCUUCCCCCUGGUCUUUCAUUGGGUCGUUGUUGUGGUCUGAGAGGGGGUCUCACUGGAGGUCUGGGGUCUUCUUGGAUGGUGGUGACCAGGCUGGUGUCGAACUUCGACACACGCUCCACAGAACAAACGACUGAAAGAAAGACAGAAACACUCUUGGCUUACAUUUGUAUCAUUACCAGUUGUCAACUGACAGCGUUUACCCUUGCAACACUUACUUUGGGCGAUGAGCGAAUUUGCAGUUGUAUUUUCAGGCACAGUUACGUUUCCAGGCACAGUUACGUUUCCAGCCACAGUUACAUUUCCAGGCACAGUCACGUUUCCAGGCCCAGUCACACUUCCAGGCCCAUUCGUGACAGUUGCAGGUCCAUUUCCUCCCUGAUUUCUCCCCAGUGCCGCCUCGAGUUGGGAUUUCAGCUCACAUUUACUGAGAAUCCGUCCCUCACUCGCACUGGAGAGCAGAAGAACCAGAGCCAACACGGCCAACAUCUUCACCUUCAUCUCUCUCUGGAGAUUAAACAGAGCAAUGGAAAAAUCCAAAUUAAACAAUCCUAAUCUGCGGUUUACCUCAGAAAACAGUCCAUUCUCUUCAUACAGUGCUUGCAAUGAAGGAACAUAAUCACUAAUGCAGCCAGCAAUCUUCUGGAUUUGUUCUCAGGAAAAAUGUGCAAAAAUGUGCCUUUAGCUUGUCAUUGGGUUAAUGCUUGGUCUUGACCACCCAGACUCUAGCCUUGGAAAACUGUCAGAAAAAGUGCUUGUCACUGGGUCAAUAGGGAUAUCUUUGUACCUUAUUCCCCCCUAAAAGGUUCAUAGUGGUAUUUUAAGGAUACAUAUUACCACUUUAAGGUACUAAUAUGAACAUUUAAUGAGCAGAUAACAUACAACGAUGCCUUUUUAAGGGUAUUAGCCCAGUGCCAAGCAAUUUUUCUGACAGUUUUCCAAGGCUAAAGUUUGGGUGGUCGAGACCAAGUAGAUUAUUAAAAUUACAAACAUGCUUUUUUUUAAAUCAUUAUACCCUUUAGCAAUGCAAUUGGUAACCACUAUGCAUUAGGUCUUCUACAACCAAAUGGCUCAUUAUUCUUGCAUAUUUUGAUACAGUUAUAAAAUGAAGUAGCAUUUUAGUCUAGCAGAUAAAUGAGCAAUAUUGGUAAAGCAUUUUAUACAAAGAGUUCAAAAGUGAUUUUACCAGAGAUGCUUCGACUGUUGUAGAUGUAGGUAUAGUCUUCAGUCUUGCUAUGGGCUGGUGUUUGUUUCCACCAUCCGCUGUGUGCUGAUCGGAC
ensembl:lncRNA